UGGCCUGAUUUAGAUAAGACAUAGCAGCUCCCUGAUUCAAUGGAACUUAACUUAGAUUCUGCUAAUAUCUCAGUACUGUUCUUAUGCUUAACAAACAGUCGUAAAAUACUUAUAAUAGUACUCCUUUGAGAAUAGAAACCAACAAUAUAUGGUACUAAAUGACAAUGUAGUGCAUGUUAUGGGAUCUUGCGGUCCACGUGUCUGC
rnacentral:lncRNA from 1 species